ACAACAAAUCAAAACGAGAGAGCAGUGAGUCUGGAAGUCCAAUGUUCUUUGUUGGAGUUAAUGAUCGGUCGUAAGAACCAUAUAUGGGAUUUGCAGCUGCAACUACACUGCAUCGAGCAUUCAAGGAUGCAUGAAUUCCUGCUUUAGCAAUGGUUACAGUCUGCUGUUCCAUAACCUCAUGUAUGGCAACUCGAUCUUGGUCAUUCAUUUUAUCAAACUCAUCA
rnacentral:misc_RNA from 1 species